GUGCCAGCCGCCGCGGUAAUACAGAGGGUGCAAGCGUUAAUCGGAAUGACUGGGCGUAAAGGGUGCGUAGGUGGUUAUUUAAGUUAGAUGUGAAAGCCCCGGGCUUAACCUGGGAACUGCAUCUAAUACUGAGUAGCUUGAGUAGAAUAGAGGGGAGUGGAAUUUCCGGUGUAGCGGUGGAAUGCGUAGAUAUCGGAAGGAACACCAGUGGCGAAGGCGGCUCCCUGGAUUCAUACUGACACUGAGGCACGAAAGCGUGGGGAGCAAACAGGAUUAGAUACCCUCGUAGUCC
rnacentral:rRNA from 1 species